rnacentral:rRNA from 1 species
ACGAACGCUGGCGGCGUGCUUAACACAUGCAAGUCGAACGGUAAGGCCCCUUCGGGGGUACACGAGUGGCGAACGGGUGAGUAACACGUGAGCAACCUGCCCUUGACACUGGAAUAACAGUUGGAAACAGCUGCUAAUACCGGGUAUGACUCGCCUCGGCAUCGAGGUGGGUGGAAAGCCCUGGCGGUCAAGGAUGGGCUCGCGGCCUAUCAGCUAGUUGGUGAGGUAACGGCUCACCAAGGCUUCGACGGGUAGCCGGCCUGAGAGGGCGACCGGCCACACUGGGACUGAGAUACGGCCCAGACUCCUACGGGAGGCAGCAGUGGGGAAUAUUGCACAAUGGGCGAAAGCCUGAUGCAGCAACGCCGCGUGCGGGAUGACGGCCUUCGGGUUGUAAACCGCUUUCAGUAGGGACGAAGCGAAAGUGACGGUACCUACAGAAGAAGCACCGGCCAACUACGU